CUACGGGUGGCAGCAGUGGGGAAUAUUGCACAAUGGGCGCAAGCCUGAUGCAGCCAUGCCGCGUGUAUGAAGAAGGCCUUCGGGUUGUAAAGUACUUUCAGCGGGGAGGAAGGGAGUAAAGUUAAUACCUUUGCUCAUUGACGUUACCCGCAGGAGAAGCACCGGCUAACUCCGUGCCAGCAGCCGCGGUAGUACGGAGGGUGCAAGCGUUAAUCGGAAUUACUGGGCGUAAAGCGCACGCAGGCGGUUUGUUAAGUCAGAUGUGAAAUCCCCGGGCUCAACCUGGGAACUGCAUCUGAUACUGGCAAGCUUGAGUCUCGUAGAGGGGGGUAGAAUUCCAGGUGUAGCGGUGAAAUGCGUAGAGAUCUGGAGGAAUACCGGUGGCGAAGGCGGCCCCCUGGACGAAGACUGACGCUCAGGUGCGAAAGCGUGGGGAGCAAACAGGAUUAGAUACCCUAGUAGUC
rnacentral:rRNA from 1 species